GAGGGAGAGAGAGGGGAGCAGACUGAGCAUGCUCACUCUGCUCCCCUCUCUCUCUCUCCUUCAGGAGGGAGAGGGGAGCCGACUGAGCAUGCUCAGUCUGCUCCCCUCUCUCUCUCUCCUUCAGGAGGGAGAGAGAGGGGAGCAGACUGAGCAUGCUCACUCUGCUCCUCUCUCUCUCUCUC